GAGAGAGAGAGAGAAGAGAAGAAGAUGGAAAGGGUGAGAAGCAGGAGAGGGAAAACCCUAAGGAGACACUGGCCCAGAAACCUUUUUAACUUUCUGUAAAAAUCUUCAAGGCCCCAAACUAGGCCAAGAUUCUGACUGACAUUUCUGAGCUCACCAGCUGCUGUUUCCUUGAGAGAAUUCUGACAGGAAGGCAUGGAAACGCAAGCCAACACUGCCAGCUCUGGGAAAAAAUAAUAAUACUAACACCCCAUGCUCUAAACACCUCAGUGGGACUGACGCCUCCCACGGAAGAAGGCACACGGAGGAGGAGGGACCUGCCAGCGACUUUCCCCCAGGCUUGGACCGGGAAUGCUUGGGAUAUACCAAGGGAUUCUCACACCAGAGGCUGCCUGCAGUCACUCCCAGUGGAGCUGCCUCCUGCUCUGGCUGGUCAAACGGAACCAAGUCCGUCUUCCUGAGAGGUUUGGUCCCCUUCAACCAGCUACAGCAGGGCUGGCCAUGCCCAACCCUUGGAGAAACAGAAGAGAUCCGCCUGUGGCUGAAAUGACAUACUAACACUUCCCUUAAGAAAAUGACUGAUAUAAUCGUAUACUCUUAUGCUCCCAGGAAGGGAGAAAAGAAGAGCCCUGGGUUCAAUAGUGAGCAAGGGUAUCACAUUCAACACACAGAGCUCCGUGGCUUUACACCCACAACUAGACCCACUCACAUGCUCCUGACACACACAGGCAGUAAAGAUUUUGAGGAUGGAAUUUCUGCUAGCUCUGGGCCAGCCAGGGUAAGAGCAUGAGACCUCAAAGACAGGACUUCUGCCCACAAGGGGCUAACAGUCUAAGUAAAGAAAUUGGAUGUCUGAAUACGGCAUAAUUCAAUGGAACUGCAAGUCAGAGCAUGGCUACUUCUUACACAGCACAUCAAAUAUGCCUGGCACAUGGUGUACUGUCAAGUUUUAUUGAUCCUUUCAGCCCAAGAUACCUAUUCACUAAGCAAUAUACAUGGCUCAGUUUCCUGACCUAUACAAUGGUGAUAAUAAUCAUAGCACCUACCACAUAGGAUUUUGUGUGGAAUGAAAAGAGAAUACAUGUAAAGGAGUUAAAAAGCUCUCACUAAUUGCUACCUACUAUGAAGGGGGAAUCCUGACCUGGUCUUCCAAUUUCUCUUUCAAAAUUUGCAUCUUUGACAGUGGAUCUAGGAGUAUGCCCCAAACUUAGCUAGUGCUCAGUAACACUUGUUUAAUUCCAGAGGCAAAUGUGUUACAUGCUGGAAUCUCACAUAAAUGUGCUCUCAUGAUGCCUAGAGCCCACCAAGUCUCCACACAGAGGGUGUGGUGCUCAUUAGCACAUGCCUUCAAGUCAGGGAGACCUGGCAUGCCCUUCUCAUUUAUUAGCUCCAAGACUCAGUCUACAUUGUAUAAACUUCAGUUUCCUCAUCUGUAAAAUGAGAACAAUGAUACUUAAAAUUGUUUUAAGAACGUAAAAAGAUAAUGCUUAUAAGUAGCUAAAUAUAAGCCCUCAAGAAAUGAUAGCUGUUGCUGUUUUGCUUUUGUACAUGCCAAUAGCUCAAUGACACAGUUGUGUACCCAAAACCUCAUUACAGGGUAUUUUUAUACUCUAACUAUUAAUCCUACUAUAAUGCAUCAUGCAUUCAUCCUUGUAUGUGUUACUGGUAUGUAAUAAGUUUUACUAAAAAUAUGCUUCAUACAUGAGACUGCUAGUAUUAUCUUAAAGGAAUAUCCUGCCAAGAAAGCUUUCAUUUGUGAGCACUGCUGAAAUGCUAGUCUGUAAUCAUGUGUCCUCCUGAGUAUGCGAAGGCCACAGAGUGUAAUCCAAAGGUGUGGAGUUAAGACAUGGGCCCUGGAGCCAGACUGCCUGGGAUCAAAUCCCAGCCCCGCAGGUCCCCACCAGCUGUGCCAUUUGGGCAAGUUGCUUGACCUCUUUGGGUCUGAGUUUCCUCAUAUGUAGAAUGAAGAUGUUAAUAAUAGUAUCUACCUCAUAGGAUUUUCAUGAGAAUGAAAUGAAAAUAUAUGUAAAGGUCUAAAAUGAGGGCUGGGUGCAUAAUACGUUUGUGAGACUUUUUAUCUUUGAAAAUGUACCUGAGAUGUUUUAAAAACUAAAUUGGUGUUCAAUAAAACCUUAUUUAAUAAAUGAUCACCUUCUCUAUAUUGUUAUUCUAAACACAAA